GGGAGCUUGCUCCCUGAUGUUAGCGGCGGACGGGUGAGUAACACGUGGGUAACCUGCCUGUAAGACUGGGAUAACUCCGGGAAACCGGGGCUAAUACCGGAUGGUUGUUUGAACCGCAUGGUUCAAACAUAAAAGGUGGCUUCGGCUACCACUUACAGAUGGACCCGCGGCGCAUUAGCUAGUUGGUGAGGUAACGGCUCACCAAGGCAACGAUGCGUAGCCGACCUGAGAGGGUGAUCGGCCACACUGGGACUGAGACACGGCCCAGACUCCUACGGGAGGCAGCAGUAGGGAAUCUUCCGCAAUGGACGAAAGUCUGACGGAGCAACGCCGCGUGAGUGAUGAAGGUUUUCGGAUCGUAAAGCUCUGUUGUUAGGGAAGAACAAGUACCGUUCGAAUAGGGCGGUACCUUGACGGUACCUAACCAGAAAGCCACGGCUAACUACGUGCCAGCAGCCGCGGUAAUACGUAGGUGGCAAGCGUUGUCCGGAAUUAUUGGGCGUAAAGGGCUCGCAGGCGGUUUCUUAAGUCUGAUGUGAAAGCCCCCGGCUCACCCGGGGAGGGUCAUUGGAAACUGGGGAACUUGAGUGCAGAAGAAGAGAGUGGAAUUCCACGUGUAGCGGUGAAAUGCGUAGAGAUGUUGGAGGAACACCAGUGGGCGAAGGCGACUCUCUGGUCUGUAACUGACGCUGAGGAGCGAAAGCGUGGGGAGCGAACAGGAUUAGAUACCCUGGUAGUCCACGCCGUAAACGAUGAGUGCUAAUGUUUAGGGGGGUUUCCGCCCCUUAGUGCUGCAGCUAACGCAUUAAGCACUCCGCCUGGGGGAGUACGGUCGCAAGACUGAAACUCACAGGAAUUG
rnacentral:rRNA from 1 species